rnacentral:rRNA from 1 species
UACGUAGGUGGCAAGCGUUGUCCGGAUUUAUUGGGUUUAAAGGGUGCGUAGGCGGUCCUAUAAGUCAGUGCUGAAAUAUCCCGGCUUAACCGGGAGGGUGGCAUUGAUACUGUAGGACUUGAGUAAAGUUGAGGUUGGCGGAAUUGACGGUGUAGCGGUGAAAUGCUUAGAUAUCGUCAAGAACACCUAUUGCGAAGGCAGCUAACUAAGCUUUAACUGACGCUGAGGCACGAAAGCGUGGGGAGCAAACAGG